AGUAUCUACAACCAUGAUGACUCCACUCGUCCUGUUGUGUUUCCUUAUAUUCUUCACUAAAGACUCAAGUUGUCAGAUAUCUGUGAAUCAACCAUCAGCACCAAAAACAGUUUCUCCUGGAGGAAGUGUCACCUUCAGUUGUACCACUGGGAGUGAUGUGGGUAGCUACAUGAACUGGUAUCAGCAGAGACCUGGAGAACGUCCUAAACUCCUGUUUUAUUAUGUAAGUAAUCGCUACGGAGACACCCCAAGUCGCUUCACUAGCAGCGGAUCAGGAACUUCAUUCUUCAGUUGCAGCCAGCCACUACUACUGUCAGACAGUAUCAGAGCUCACCACACAGUGAUGGACUCGUGA